rnacentral:tRNA from 1 species
AGCAUGUUAGCUCAGGGGAAGAGCGGUAAUUUUAUCACGUGACCUAUAGAAUUUGAUCAAAAGCUAACGUUUCAUAGCCGGGCUCAUAACCCGGAGGUCCCUGGAUCGAAACCAGGACAUGCUA